ACAACGGAGAGUUUGAUCCUGGCUCAGGAUGAACGCUAGCGGCAGGCCUAACACAUGCAAGUCGAACGGUAACAUAGAUUGCUUGCAAUCUGAUGACGAGUGGCGCACGGGUGCGUAACGCGUAUGCAACCUACCUUUAACUGGAGGAUAGCCCGAAGAAAUUCGGAUUAAUACUCCAUAAUAUAAGUCUUUCGCAUGUUAGACUUAUUAAAGCUUCGGCGGUUAAAGAUGGGCAUGCGUGACAUUAGUUAGUUGGUGAGGUAACGGCUCACCAAGACAGCGAUGUCUAGGGGGUCUGAGAGGAUUUUCCCCCACACUGGUACUGAGACACGGACCAGACUCCUACGGGAGGCAGCAGUGAGGAAUAUUGGUCAAUGGACGAAAGUCUGAACCAGCCAUGCCGCGUGCAGGAAGAAUGCCCUACGGGUUGUAAACUGCUUUUAUAUAGGAAUAAACCCCCGAACGUGUUCGGGGCUGAAGGUACUAUAUGAAUAAGGACCGGCUAACUCCGUGCCAGCAGCCGCGGUAAUACGGAGGGUCCAAGCGUUAUCCGGAUUUAUUGGGUUUAAAGGGUGCGUAGGCGGGACAUUAAGUCAGUGGUGAAAUCUUCCAGCUCAACUGGGAAACUGCCAUUGAUACUGAUGUUCUUGAGUUUGGUUGAAGUAAGCGGAAUGAGGCAUGUAGCGGUGAAAUGCAUAGAUAUGCCUCAGAACACCGAUCGCGAAGGCAGCUUACUAAGCCAAUACUGACGCUGAGGCACGAAAGCGUGGGGAGCAAACAGGAUUAGAUACCCUGGUAGUCCACGCCGUAAACGAUGAUUACUCGCUGUUGGCCAUACACAGUCAGCGGCUAAGCGAAAGUGAUAAGUAAUCCACCUGGGGAGUACGUUCGCAAGAAUGAAACUCAAAGGAAUUGACGGGGGCCCGCACAAGCGGUGGAGCAUGUGGUUUAAUUCGAUGAUACGCGAGGAACCUUACCAGGGCUUAAAUGUAGAACGACCGAUCUGGAA
rnacentral:rRNA from 1 species